rnacentral:rRNA from 1 species
AUGACCCACAUAUCAGAUAUUAAACUGAUAAGAACAGAUACUACACUUGAUCUUAGCCAAAAGGCCGAGAAAGGUAUGCUCCUUCCGGCUGGCCUGGGUCUGGUUAUAUAG